rnacentral:rRNA from 1 species
UACGUAGGGGGCUAGCGUUGUCCGGAAUCAUUGGGCGUAAAGAGCGUGUAGGCGGUCCGGUAAGUCCGCUGUGAAAGUCGGGGGCUCAACCCUCGAAUGCCAGUGGAUACUGCCGGGCUAGAGUCCGGAAGAGGCGAGUGGAACUCCUGGUGUAGCGGUGGAAUGCGCAGAUAUCAGGAAGAACACCGACGGCGAAGGCAGCUCGCUGGGACGGUACUGACGCUGAGGCGCGAAAGCGUGGGGAGCGAACAGG